rnacentral:rRNA from 1 species
UCCAGACUCCUACGGGAGGCAGCAGUGGGGAAUAUUGCACAAUGGGGGAAACCCUGAUGCAGCGACGCCGCGUGAGCGAAGAAGUAUUUCGGUAUGUAAAGCUCUAUCAGCAGGGAAGAAAAAUGACGGUACCUGAGUAAGAAGCACCGGCUAAAUACGUGCCAGCAGCCGCGGUAAUACGUAUGGUGCAAGCGUUAUCCGGAUUUACUGGGUGUAAAGGGAGCGCAGGCGGUGCGGCAAGUCUGAUGUGAAAGCCCGGGGCUCAACCCCGGGACUGCAUUGGAAACUACCGAACUAGAGUGUCGGAGAGGUAAGUGGAAUUCCUAGUGUAGCGGUGAAAUGCGUAGAUAUUAGGAGGAACACCAGUGGCGAAGGCGGCUUACUGGACGAUGACUGACGCUGAGGCUCGAAAGCGUGGGGAGCAAACAGGAUUAGAUACCCCUGUAAGG